rnacentral:rRNA from 1 species
AUUGAACGCUGGCGGCAGGCCUAACACAUGCAAGUCGAACGAGUGGCGGACGGGUGAGUAAUGUCUGGUAAACUUCCCGAUGGAGGGGGAAAACUACUGGAAACGGAAGCUUAUACCGCAUACCAUCCGAUGAGCCCAGAUGGGAUUAGCGAGUAGGUGGGGUAACGGCUCACCUAGGCGACGAUCCCUAGCUGGUCUGAUAGGAUGACCAGCCACACUGGAACGGAGACACGGUCCAGACUCCUACGGGAGGCAGCAGUGGGGAAUAUUGCACAAGGGGGGAAAGCCUGCGGAAGCCCGGCCGUGUGUAGGAAGAAGGCCUUCGGGUUGUAAAGUACUUUCAGCGAGGAGGCGGUACUCGAAGAAGAAGCACCGGCUAACUCCGUGCCAGCAGCCGCGGUAAUUC